rnacentral:misc_RNA from 1 species
GAUGAAGAACGCAGCGAAAUGCGAUACUUGGUGUGAAUUGCAGAAUCCCGUGAACCAUCGAGUCUUUGAACGCAAGUUGCGCCCGAAGCCAUCAGGUUGAGGGCACGUCUGCCUGGGCGUCACAUAUCGUUGCUCGAUACCUAUCGCAUUGCGUUAGGACUUAGGGCGAAUGAUGGCUUCCCGUGAGCGUUGUUGCCUCGCGGUUGGUUGAAAAUCGAGUCCUUGGUAGGGUGUGCCAUGAUAGAUGGUGGUCGAGUUAGCGCGAGACCGAUCAUGUGCAUGCUCCCCAAAAUAUGGCCUCUGUGACCCACACGCGUCUUUUGACGCUCAUGACGAGACCUCAGGUCAGGCGGGGCUACCCGCUGAAUUUAAGCAUAUCAAUAAGCGGAGGA